GGAGUAUUCCCUAUGGCUGAUCCAAGGCACCUUCUCACUGGUGGAGCAAGGAAAUAUACACACACAAGUGUUCCCUCGGAACAGGAGAGUGGUUUCCCACCUGGAGUUACUGGAGCCAGCUUGAGGGCAGAUCUCUAUUAUUUUGAAGAAAUCCACAUUUGUCCUGCAGACAGUGUAGGGAGAAGUUAUUCCUCACUGUAGUGGCAUAAGAAGAUACCCUCAGCAGGGAGGACCUACGCAAACAGCUCAGUACAUGCAGCUAAAUUGCACAAGCAGAGUCCAGCUCCUGAGCCUCACAGAAUGUCUGGGAACAGCCACAGGCUGGUUUAGAGGCCAGGAAUGAUUCCUCCUCUUCCA